rfam:Alligator mississippiensis ScZkoYb_84.2, whole genome shotgun sequence.
GGCUCCAUGGCUCAGUGGUUUGAACACUGGUUUUGUAAAUCAGAGGUUGUGAGUUCAACCUCUCACUAGAGUCU